GCUAAAGUAGUUUAUUAAAAUACUACGUUGUGGUUGUAGAGAUGUGAUGCACUUUUAGCA
rnacentral:tRNA from 1 species